AAAAAAGGUAAGCUACUAAGAGCGAAUGGUGGAUGCCUUGACUGGUAAAGGCGAUGAAGGACGUACUAGACUGCGAUAAGCUACGGGGAGCUGUCAAGAAGCUUUGAUCCGUAGAUUUCCGAAUGGGGCAACCCAGUAUAUAGAGAUAUAUACUACCAUAAUGGAGCGAACGAGGGGAAUUGAAACAUCUUAGUACCCUCAGGAAAAGAAAUCAAUAGAGAUUAUGUCAGUAGCGGCGAGCGAAAGCGUAAGAGGGCAAACCCAGUGCUUGCACUGGGGGUUGUAGGACUGCAAUGUGCAAUAAGUAAGGUUAGUAGAACACUCUGGAAAGUGUAGCCAUAGAGGGUGAUAGUCCCGUAUACGAAAACCAAACUUUAGCUAGCAGUAUCCUGAGUAGGGCGAAACACGUGGAAUUUUGUCUGAAGCUGGGUCGACCACGAUCCAACCCUAAAUACUAAUACCAGAUCGAUAGUGCACAAGUACCGUGAGGGAAAGGUGAAAAGAACUGAGGUGAUCAGAGUGAAAUAGAACCUGAAACCAUUUGCUUACAAUCAUUCAGAGCACUAUGUAGCAAUACAGUGUGAUGGACUGCCUUUUGCAUAAUGAGCCUGCGAGUUGUGGUGUCUGGCAAGGUUAAGCACACGCGAAGCCGUAGCGAAAGCGAGUCUGAAUAGGGCGCUUAAGUCAGAUGCUGCAGACCCGAAACGAAGUGAUCUAUCCAUGAGCAAGUUGAAGCUAGUGUAAGAACUAGUGGAGGACUGAACCCAUAGGCGUUGAAAAGCCCCGGGAUGACUUGUGGAUAGGGGUGAAAGGCCAAUCAAACUUCGUGAUAGCUGGUUCUCUCCGAAAUAUAUUUAGGUAUAGCGUUGUGUCGUAGUAUAAGGGGGUAGAGCACUGAAUGGGCUAGGGCAUACACCAAUGUACCAAACCCUAUCAAACUCCGAAUACCUUAUAUGUAAUCACAGCAGUCAGGCGGCGAGUGAUAAAAUCCGUCGUCAAGAGGGAAACAACCCAGACUAUCAGCUAAGGUCCCCAAGUCUUACUUAAGUGGAAAACGAUGUGAAGUUACUUAAACAACCAGGAGGUUGGCUUAGAAGCAGCCAUCCUUUAAAGAAAGCGUAAUAGCUCACUGGUCUAGUGAUUUUGCGCGGAAAAUAUAACGGGGCUAAAGUAAGCACCGAAGCUAUAGACUUAGUUUUACUAAGUGGUAGGAGAGCGUUCUAUUUGCGUCGAAGGUAUACCGGUAAGGAGUGCUGGAGCGAAUAGAAGUGAGCAUGCAGGCAUGAGUAGCGAUAAUUAAUGUGAGAAUCAUUAACGCCGUAAACCCAAGGUUUCCUACGCGAUGCUCGUCAUCGUAGGGUUAGUCGGGUCCUAAGUCGAG
rnacentral:rRNA from 1 species